UCAAAGAAUCAUAUUGUGAUGCAACGAGAUGUUUUUCUUUGCAUUCCUAGGACUACUACGUUUGGCAUAAGGAAUUCCACUUGCGUUUUCUCAAAUCAUAAAAACAGAUGUCGAAGAUAGCCGGCGUCGUGUGUUAGCAAUGCAGAAAAAUGACGUCAUUAGCGAAAAUCGUUCCAUGAAGCGAUUCUCUUCCGGAGAAGAAAACACAGAGAGAUCGCUGUUCUCAUUCUUCCUCUUUAGAAUUAAUGACACACCGUGUUACGCUCGACUAUUUUGCAGCAGUUCGAACGAACUAUGGACGCAACUUCCGGAAGGCUUGGCUGCUGCUGCAUCGGAGUCGAUGAAAAGAAAUUCACAAUGUGCUCUGCGCGAGUUCGCAAAACUAAUUCGAUUUUGAUCUCUGCCGGGACGAAGAAACCUUUGAAAAUUUAAGCGAGCAUUAAACGUAAUUUAAACGGA